rnacentral:rRNA from 1 species
AUACGUAGGGGGCGAGCGUUGUCCGGAAUGAUUGGGCGUAAAGGGCGCGUAGGCGGCCCGGUAAGUCUGGAGUGAAAGUCCUGUUUUUAAGAUGGGAAUUGCUUUGGAUACUGUCGGGCUUGAGUGCAGGAGAGGUAAGUGGAAUUCCCAGUGUAGCGGUGAAAUGCGUAGAGAUUGGGAGGAACACCAGUGGCGAAGGCGAAUUACUGGACUGUAACUGACGCUUAGGCGCGAAAGUGUGGGGAGCAAACAGGAUUAGAUACCCUGGUAGUCCACACUGUAAACGAUGAAUGCUAGGUGUAGGGGGUAUCGACCCCUUCUGUGCCGCAGUCAACACAAUAAGCAUUCCGCCUGGGGAGUACGGCCGCAAGGUUGAAACUCAAAGGAAUUGACGGGG